rnacentral:rRNA from 1 species
UACGGAGGGUGCAAGCGUUAUCCGGAUUCACUGGGUUUAAAGGGUGCGUAGGUGGCGGGGUAAGUUUGAUGUGAAAGCUCAGGGCUUAACCCUGAAAUGGCAUUGAAUACUACUCUGCUGGAGGUUUGGAGGGGGGACUGGAAUUCUUGGUGUAGCAGUGAAAUGCGUAGAUAUCAAGAGGAACACCAGUGGCGAAGGCGAGUCCCUGGACAACACCUGACACUGAGGCACGAAAGCUAGGGGAGCAAACAGG